UACGGAGGGGGCAAGCGUUAUUCGGAAUUACUGGGCGUAAAGCGCGCGUAGGCGGCUGUGUAAGUCGGAUGUGAAAGCCCUCUGCUCAACCUAGGAACUGCGUCCGAUACUGCGCGGCUUGAGUUUGGUAGGGGGUAGCGGAAUUCCCGGUGUAGCGGUGGAAUGCGUAGAUAUCGGGAGGAAUACCGAUGGCGAAGGCGGCUACCUGGGCCGGAACUGACGCUGAGGUGCGAAAGCUAGGGGAGCAAACAGG
rnacentral:rRNA from 1 species